rnacentral:tRNA from 1 species
GCCCGAUUAGCUCAGUUGGUAGAGGAUCAGACUUUUAAUCUGAGAGCCAUGGGUUCGAGUCUCAUAUCGGGCU